rnacentral:rRNA from 1 species
AUUACCGCGGCUGCUGGCACGUAGUUAGCCGUGGCUUUCUGGUUAAAUACCGUCAAUACCUGAACAGUUACUCUCAGAUAUGUUCUUCUUUAACAACAGAGUUUUACGAGCCGAAACCCUUCUUCACUCACGCGGCGUUGCUCCAUCAGACUUUCGUCCAUUGUGGAAGAUUCCCUACUGCUGCCUCCCGUAGG